rnacentral:rRNA from 1 species
CACAGAGGGAAGCCAGGUGGCGACACCGCGCGGAACCGAAGCCGUUCUCAGUUCGGAUCGGAGUCUGCAACCCGACUCCGUGAAGCUGGAUUCGCUAGUAAUCGCGCAUCAGCCAUGGCGCGGUGAAUACGUUCCCGGGCCUUGUACACACCGCCCGUCAAGCCAUGGGAGCCGGGGGUGCUUGAAGUGCGUCGCCGCAAGGCGCGCCCUAGAGCAAAACCGGUGACUGGGGCUAAGUCGUAACAAGGUAUC